GACGAACGCUGGCGGCGUGCUUAACACAUGCAAGUCGAGCGGUAAGGCCCUUUCGGGGGUACACGAGCGGCGAACGGGUGAGUAACACGUGGGUGACCUGCCCUCAGCUCUGGGAUAAGCCUGGGAAACCGGGUCUAAUACCGGAUAUGACUCCAUGACGCAUGUUGUGGGGUGGAAAAGCCUUGUGCGGCUGAGGAUGGGCCCGCGGCCUAUCAGCUUGUUGGUGGGGUGAUGGCCUACCAAGGCGACGACGGGUAGCCGGCCUGAGAGGGCGACCGGCCACACUGGGACUGAGACACGGCCCAGACUCCUACGGGAGGCAGCAGU
rnacentral:rRNA from 1 species